GUUUCAUGACUCUGCUCUCAAGGGAACAAGAAGAGACCCCAGACGAGGAGAUGUUUUUGGUUGGGGACUCACAAGUAGAUGAGUUUUCAAGGCAUUUGUACUCCUUAAAUGUAGACAGGAACGCAUGUUUUGCAUCUUUACAUAACUGGAUAAGUAUAUCUGCGAGAUAUCUUUGGUAGAAGUAGAUGCGUUCUCAAGGGAACGCAUGUUUUGCAUCUUUACAUAACUGGAUAAGUAUAUCUGUAGAUAUUCCCAGUUUAUGAUCUUGAUUCCAGAAACUUGGUGAGCUUCCGUCAGCAACGGAUCCUGAUUCUUUAUCCAGCAGUGUGAACUGUGAGGGGUGAAUAAACCCAACUUCAUCACUUUUAAC
rnacentral:lncRNA from 1 species